rnacentral:rRNA from 1 species
GACGAACGCUGGCGGCGUGCUUAACACAUGCAAGUCGAACGCUGAAGCUUGGUGCUUGCACUGGGUGGAUGAGUGGCGAACGGGUGAGUAAUACGUGAGUAACCUGCCCUUGACUCUGGGAUAAGCCUGGGAAACUGGGUCUAAUACUGGAUAUGACCUCCUGUCGCAUGGUGGGGGGUGGAAAGGGUUUGUACUGGUUGUGGAUGGGCUCACGGCCUAUCAGCUUGUUGGUGGGGUAAUGGCCUACCAAGGCGACGACGGGUAGCCGGCCUGAGAGGGUGACCGGCCACACUGGGACUGAGACACGGCCCAGACUCCUACGGGAGGCAGCAGUGGGGAAUAUUGCACAAUGGGCGCAAGCCUGAUGCAGCGACGCCGCGUGAGGGAUGACGGCCUUCGGGUUGUAAACCUCUUUCAGCACGGAAGAAGCGAAAGUGACGGUACGUGCAGAAGAAGCGCCGGCUAACUACGUGCCAGCAGCCGCGGUAAUACGUAGGGCGCAAGCGUUGUCCGGAAUUAUUGGGCGUAAAGAGCUCG